GACCUUUGUCCACUGAACUGUGGGGAUCCCUUUCCUCCUCAGGCAGAGCUUGAGGUCAAGAUCAGCCGUUGAGAAUUGUGGAUUAUCAUGAGGACGGCCAUGAGUAGGGAGUGCCAUUUUCCUUCCUCAGACAUUC